rnacentral:lncRNA from 1 species
GGCGGAGCAGCUCUAGUUUAGUGGGGUCACGUGAACUUUUUAAAAAUUAAAAAUAAAAGAAACUCUUCUAGUUUUCUUUUUUUCUUUUCCUAUUUCUAAGACCUCUUUGUCCAGGGAAAAUCUAGUUGUGAUCCACUUAAAAUUUAACUUUAUAGAAUCGACCCUACUAUAUAUAUAUAAUUACUGAGAAACUUAUUAAUUUAUUGACUAUAGUUAUAUAAUUUAAUAUUAAAUACUAUUAUAUUUUUAAAAAAAUCAAAGAAUAUUGUUUAAUUACUGGAAUUAUAGUUGUUAUUUAAUAAGAAAAACAAUAUAUUAAUUGUAUUACAAUAUCAUCAAUAUAAUAAUUCAAAUGAAUAUGAAAAUUACAUUUUCUUAUUAUACCAAUAAGAUAAAUACAAAUUUUUAUGUCCAUGUAUCAAAAAUGUGUAUAUUAACACAAAAAAAAAAUAAUCGUCAUUUUCAGGAUAAAUGCAUGAAAUAAAAAAUCAACUCAAAAAAUAAUCAUUAUUUUUAGAAUAUGAAUAAAACUUUAUUUUAGUUUAAGAAUACUGCUUUUAUUGAAUCGUGGAAUGAUGAAACUAAUUAUAUUAGGCACUAAAAUGACACAGAUAUAAAAUUUAAAAAAUAUAAAUAUUCAUUUAUUUUCAUUUAUUAAUGCCCAAAAAAUUAAAAGUGAGUUUUGAUAGAGAUAAAAGUAAUUUCCUAGUAUAUAAAAUUGUGAGCUUGAAAUAUUUUAUUUGUUAUAUAUAAUUGUUCAUGCAAAUUAAUGAGAAUUCAUCAAUGGUGAUUAUAGAUUUAUAAAAGUACUUAUGAUGUUUCAUAUUUUUUAUUUUUAGAAAAACAUUUUCAAGCCAAAAUCUUUGUCCACAGAAACAACAAUUUAGCGUAUCUCCUCCUUAUACAUAGAAAUCAAUAAAAUUGAACUAAUAAUUUUUAAUAAUCCCAAUAACAUAUAUAAUGAUAAUUUAACUUAAAAUGAAAUUAUAACAUUUUAUAUUUUUCAAUAAUUAAUUUAGUAUAUAAAAGAAUCAUACAUUAAAAUGAUUGGAGGAUGGGAAUGAGGUUGUAUCUAAGGAACAUAGAAAAGUUGUCAAUAGGAGAAGUUGGAUAAAGAUAUUGACUGACGCCGAAUUUAAUUGCUUCCCUCCAUUUCUCUUCAUUCUAUACCGGCAGUCAUUUGUCAACGUUAUGCAGUUUUUUAUUAUUUUCGUUCCCCUUGUUUUACAUAUAUGCACCGUCCUUAUUAUUAUUUUAAUUUUUUAAAUAUUUUUUUAUUUAUAAAAUCUAUAAACAAAAUUUUAUGUAAAAUAUUUAUAAUUUUAAAAAUAUUUAAAUUAAAUCUGUACAAUAAUUAUAUAUCAUUCUUGCUAAGAAAAUAAUUAUUAUUAUUUAUAAUUGAUAAUAUAUCAUAGAAGAGGAUGAUUUUUUUUAAAAUUUAUUAUUAAUAUAUUCACUGUAGAUGUAUGUAAAAUAUUAUUUAUAUAUCAACUUUUACAUUUAUAUUAUAAUAUUAUUAAUAUACUAAUAAAUAAAAUGAACUAAAAGUUAUAUAUCAGCAUUAUGUUUAUGUAUAGAUAUUUAAAUUUUUUAUCUCAAUUUAUAUAAAUCGGUCAAAACUGCAAAUUGAACACUGGACGAUAACUUAUGCACUAAGUUAGCACCAAAUUUCUUUUUCUUUUUCAAAUAAAAACCUUUCUUUAAAAAAGACGGUACAAAAUCCUGAGUUAAGAGAGAGCUGACAACUGUUACAUUUUGCUAAUGUGGAUAUGUGAAGAAAAAAAUGUAGCACAAUAAGUUUCACUUGAGAAAUUAUAUAAUAUUGCGAUAUAUAGCCUUAACAUUAAAAUAUAUUUAUAUUAAUCUUUAAAAUUUAUAUUAUUUUUAAUAUGUAUAUUUAAUUUUUGAUACAUAAAAUUUUAUAAUUAUAUAAUAAUUUUAAUUUUUAAAAUAGUAAUAUUAAUUAUAUUGGUAGUUUUAAUUUAUAUAAUAUUAAAAUUAAUUAAUAUAUAUAUAAAAUAAUUUUUAUAUUAAUGUAUUAAUAAAUUUUUUAAAAAAUAUUAAAGAUAUUUAAAAAUAAUAAGUUUGCUAUUAUUUUUUAAAAUAUUAUAAAUUGAUAGUAAAUAUUAAAAAGUAUAUUAAAUUUUAUCUAUAAAUUUAAUUUAUUUAUAAUAAAAAUAAUAAUAAUGACGACACAAUACACGGAUAAUCUAUUUUAUUUUAACUUAAAAUAUUCUCUUUGAUCACAUCUUUAUGCUUCAUCUUCCUUUAUUAUUUCUCAGUAUCUAAAUGCCUCAUCCUUUCAUUCUUAUUUGGGUCAUUUAGUAAUGGAAGAAAUGCUAAUUCUAAGCUAUUUUUCUUUAAUCAAACCAAUGAAACAAAGAAAACAACUUUUUUAAUUUUCUCUAUAAAAAGAAAAUGGCACAACUUAAAUAUGUAGCGAAUUAGUAUAUCCAUGUUCAACAAAAAAACAAUUCAAGAAUAAUCAAGAAAAUAGAAAAAAGGAAACACGAAGUUUAGUUAAAACUCACAAUCAAAUCCCAAUUAAAAAGAACAUAGAAAAUCACUAAUUCUUUCUUCUUCUUUUUUAAAUCUCUUCAAAGUUCAAAAUCCUUCCUUCUUUUAAGACAUUACCAAAAUCAUUAUACUCACCUUCACCACCAUCAUAUCCGCAUCUUUCUAUCUCUCUCUCUCUCUCUCUCUCUCUCUCUAUUCCAACCACCGUUUCUUCUCUUCGAGUCAACGACAGCCUCCUUUUCUCUUCUUCUCCACUGACCUUCAAAGACUGGGUAAUGGCGAGAUUGAAUGCGGUAGUAGCCAUAGAUGUGAAUGGUGUUAAUGGAGAUUCUAGAUGAUGGACGGAUUUGAUUUUUGAUUAUUUUUAAAUUUAAAUAAUCAAGUAAAUCAACACGCUCUCUCCAACCUUAGACAAUAGACAAUAGAUGAUAUAAGAGAGACAUGGUGAGUGUGAUUGGUAGCUUUUACUACAAAAAGAGGGUUUCACUUUCCAAGAGAGAAAUUAUGUUAAUGUAAAAAAUUCAACAAUUAAAUUCAAACAAACAAAAAAAUCUAACAGAAGAUAGGCC